UCUAGCGUGUGCGCGAGUCAUUGGGUGCAAAACCUAAAGGCGCAAUGAAAGUGUCAGGGGUGCCUCCUUCAGGAGCGCAUCCCGUUGGGAGGAUGGGCACCCGUGCGUUCACUCGCCGGAGCCCCGCACUCCCGGGGCGUCUCGUUCUCAUCACGAGUGGAGACGCACCAGGAGCGCACACGCUGGUACCCGAAAGAUGGUGAACUAUGCCUGGCCAGGACGAAGCCAGGGGAAACCCUGGUGGAGGUCCGAAGCGAUUCUGACGUGCAAAUCGAUCGUCUGAGCUGGGUAUAGGGGCGAAAGACCAAUCGAACCAUCUAGUAGCUGGUUCCCUCUGAAGUUUCCCUCAGGAUAGCUGGCUCUCGGGAAGAGACGAGUCUCAUCCGGUAGAGCGAAUGAUUAGAGGUGAUGGGGUCGAAACGACUUCAACCUAUUCUCAAACUCCCAAUAGAUGAGAGCCC
rnacentral:rRNA from 1 species